ensembl:lncRNA
CCCCCCCCCGGGAUGGAGGAGCUGCCCAGUUAGGUCGGCCCUGGGGACCGGAGGGGCCCCGGGGGGCCAGGGCCGGGCUGGGGAACUGGGCCGGGCUGGGUGUCUGCAAAGUGUAACUCGGAGCUGGGGCUGGGGGGUGGGGGGCGAGGGGGGUUGCGCCCCGCUUGGAGCAGCUCAGGCAGCUCUGGGCUUGUUGUGGUUUGUUGUUUGUUCGGAUCACUGAGUGGGCUUCCUGGGGGAGGGAGGGGUCCUCACUUUCUUCUCGGCCGCGUGAGAAGCCCUGGAGGUUCCCCAGGAUUCCGAGGGCAGGUGUUCCCGGGUCGGUGAAAGGGCUUCGGCCUGGGCGGGCCGGUGGGGUAGCUGUAGAGCGAGGGGGACACCUCGGGACUUCGCUCGGGGCUUGGGAAAGGGCCGCUUGCCUCCGGGUCGCCGACCAGUGGCGCCAGGGUGCCCCGAAGAGCCCUGCGCCGCGGCCCAUCCCCUCUCCCCCGCCGCCGAGCUCUCACACCCCGCGGGCCCCCCGCGUCCUCCCCGGGGCCGUCGCGCCCCUGGCUGCCGUCUGGGUUGGCGCUCAAGUCCCCCGCAGCUGGGCGAAAGGCACUGCCGACCCCAUUUCACAGAUGGCAAACCGAGGCUCGAAGAGCUGCGCCCAGCCGGGACUGCCCUGGCCGAGUCCUCCCGGGGGCGCCUGGGUGGCUCAGUGGUGAGCGGCUGCUUCGGCUCAGACUGAUCCGCGGGCGGGGGAUCGAGUCCCGCAUCGGGGUCCCCGCAGGGAGCCUGCUUCUCCCUUGGCCUGUGUCUCUGCCUCUCUCUGNAAAAAUCUUAAAAAAAAAAAAAAAAAGAAAAGAAAAGAAGAAGAAUCUUCCCAGCCCGAGACCUCGGGGUCACAUCUGUCCCUUGUCCAGCCCCGGAGCCCUUCAUUCCUCUCCUCCUUUCCCUCAAGAAGGACUUGGAAGUGCCUUUUUCAAAACUGGCACCUGUACUCAGCUGUAGGGGUCCCUAUAUGGGCAGGACUGUGAGGACUCUUGCAUGGGGGCAUGGAGGUUAGGGUGGGGGUGGCUGGGAGAGCUUGGUGGGGAGACACUUCUGGUUGCAUCCCCUUUUCUAAACUCUAGAGGCUGCUGUAUUUCUGCAACCUACAGGCAACAUUUUUGAAACAGCAGCAGAUAAGAUGUUUUCCAGUGGUUUUUCCACAAGGCUGCUAAGGGGUGUGUAGUUCAGUUGCAGGAACUAGUUUUAUUUGUGACUGUGGCCAAGGCAUUUCUGGGAACAUAAACUUGCUACAAAACAGAAUCACCUAAAAGGCUUGUUCAGAUAUCCUGAGUCUCUGAUUCUGAGGUGGGGCCCAAGAAUCUCCCAUUCUAACAAGUUCCUCAAUGAUGCGCCUGCGGGUGAGCCCCUGAACGCACUUUAAGAACCACUGCUAUAGAAUUUCCCUGUGGUAAGCCAGUGACUUAAUACCCUUCCUUCCAUCCACUUAAUUAAUAAUUAAUAUUUAUUGAACAGUUGCUUUGUGCCAAGCAUUGGGGAUGCAGCAUGAACAAUGAUGACAAUAUGAUGGGGGGGCAGAAAAAACAAGUAAACAGACAACCCCCUAGUGAUUCUGAUGUAUUUGGGGGACUAUCGG